rnacentral:rRNA from 1 species
AUUGAUUCUUGACUGACUGAGCGGCGGACGGGUGAGUAACGCGUGGGUGACCUGCCCCAUACCGGGGGAUAACAGCUGGAAACGGCUGCUAAUACCGCAUAAGCGCACAGAGCUGCAUGGCUCAGUGUGAAAAACUCCGGUGGUAUGGGAUGGGCCCGCGUCUGAUUAGGCAGUUGGCGGGGUAACGGCCCACCAAACCGACGAUCAGUAGCCGGACUGAGAGGUUGAACGGCCACAUUGGGACUGAGACACGGCCCAGACUCC